rnacentral:rRNA from 1 species
CUCCGGUUUACUCGUGAAGGCCGUCAUGUAGAAAGAAUCGAACAAGGGACGUCAUUGCUAAAAGAAUUAAGCGUACUAUUACGUAUACAGUUGAUAAGAUCUUUCUCCGUUCUGUAGUUGACCGGCAUUAAUAAAUACAUGGUACAGCUGUAAAGACUUCCUUGUGUCACUUUGAGAUGUAAAGACAUCACAAAAAGACAGGUAAAGGUACGAAACGGGAAGAACUUGCGUACGUGUGGAUAGCAGAAAAAUGAUCCUUCUAAAAGGGUUCUCUCAUGAGGACUUUCCGAAACGGUUGGUUCGACCUAUGGAAGUGCACAAGGCCACUUUUAAGAAACCUCUGGCCUCCGAGAACUGCGUUCGGUCCCUACGGUUCCUACACGUCUUACAGGGUGUUUUUUCAUCCUACACGUCUUACUUGACCGUCCUCUUACGUGGACGACGGAAACAACCAGACAAGUAGUAACCCACCAUUGUCACAGCCUUUUGUUGAGUAUACGCACAGGUUUUCCUCCUCGAACACAUGUAAGACCACACAUAACUUUUACAGAGGAUCUAAGUUUGUUCUUUUCAAACACUUUUACCAAGGUCCCGAACUCCCUUGACUACUCCUAAAUACACUAGAACAAGUACUAAAUGGUUCGGGCCAUAGUUACCCUUUACCAUUACACGUAAAAAAACAGUUAAACCAGGGAGGUGAUAACUAAUUCGAAACAAAAUAGGGGUCAAAAGUUUUGUUUAUU